rnacentral:rRNA from 1 species
GACGAACGCUGGCGGCGUGCCUAACACAUGCAAGUCUACGAGAAAAGGGUAGCAAUAUCCUGAGUAAAGUGGCGCACGGGUGAGUAACACGUAGGCAAUCUGCCUUCAGGACGGGAACAACCCCGAGAAAUCGAGGCUAAUACCCGAUAAUGCAGCGACACCGCAUGGUGACAGUUGUUAAAUGCCCGCAAGGGCGCCCGAAGAUGAGCCUGCGCCCCAUUAGGUAGNGGUGAGGUAACGGCCCACCAAGCCUACGAUGGGUAGCUGAUCUGAGAGGAUGAUCAGCCACACUGGAACUGAGACACGGUCCAGACUCCUACGGGAGGCAGCAGUGAGGAAUAUUGGGCAAUGGGCGCAAGCCUGACCCAGCGACGCCGCG